rnacentral:snoRNA from 18 species
UCACAUGAUGAACACAAUGAUUCGCUGUGUUCUUACUGAACUACAUUGAAGAAACAAUCACCUUGGAGAACUGACAC